CUUAGAGAAAUGAAAUUUGUGUUAUACAAUUACAGAUUUCAAAACAUCAAUUAUUGAAGAUUAUCUUCAAUUUUUUUUUUGAAAACAUUGUUUUUCUUAUCUGAAAUAUCAUAAUUCAUAUCCAUAUUUAUAAUAUGUUAUCUAAUUGUGAUGUUAUAUCAAGAUUUUUCCACUGCUCUACUUAUUACAUUAAAAGUAAAGCCCACAAGAUUUGUUGCAUCUUUGACUGAGUAUAACUUUAUUUUUCCCUAUGAUCUCUACCCCACUCCUCCAGAUUUUUCUCAAUCCGUCAAUUUAUGAGAAUAAUUUACUAUAAUGAAAUAUCGGUGGGUAAUUUACGUAUUCUUUUUUUUUUGGGGGAUAACAUUCACAAGGGAUGAUAGGAUGUAAAAUUCAAAUCAAAAUAAGAGACAAGUGACAUCAUUUAAAAAAAAAAACAGAUAUCAAUUAAUUAAUUAACCAUCAACUAUCAAUCAACUAUAUUUUACAGAGGAAUAAGCAAGCAGUUGAUUGGUGGAAAUUUCCUUCAUUCUCAUUGGUCUAUAUACUUUGAUUACUUUUUAAUACCCGUAUCUCAAUCGGUCAAUUCAUGCAUAUACCCCGCAUAAUUUAUUCCCCAUAUUUUUCAACGUAAUCUGUUUCCACGUUAUCCCUGAUUUGCGCCUUUUCAAAUUUCAAAUUAAUUGGAUACGACAUGCCAUUAUAAUUGUAUCCUCUUUCUGUUUCCCAUGAAUUUCCAUCUUCUCUAUUCUACAUUCUCAUUUUCCUCCGCUCUCCUAGUUAUUUGUUAUCAGUAUCGUUUUCUUUCUCUUAAUCUGUUUCUUUUCAUUUCACCACUGUUUCCUUUCUCUGUUCGUCUAUUUCAUCUUGAUGGAUCGUCUUGACACUCUCAUUCCCGACCGCCAAGCAGGUUCCUUGCAUAUUUGUUCAUCUUAUUUAUGUUUAUAGUCUUUUAACUGUCUCUUUUUCCACAAACAACCAUCUUAUCAAUUUUUUUAUCUUCGUUUUUCCCAACACGUAAGAUGGACCCAAAUCUAUUUACUCAUCUGAAGGAUCUUCAAGAGGGUGACUCGCAAGCUAGCAUAUGUGUUCGGUUGGUCCAUUUAUUCUGCAGGGAAGAUAAUAUGGGCUUCUUCCAGAUUGUAAAGAUCUUAAAUAGUACAGUUUGUGAUAUGGAGGUCUUUUCUUUCAUCUCCUUUAUUAUGUUUUUAGUGCAUAUAUUAAAUGUUAAAUCAUAUUUUCCAUACGUUAAUCUGUCAUUGAAGGGUACUCGGAUCUUGGUUGUUAUCAAUCAGCUCAGUCUUAUUCAUAGGAUUUGGGCCUAUUCUUCGAAAGGAUUGUUCAUAUGACAUUCACCAUUUCAAAGUCAUUUGGAAUGCCAACCCCGUUUCAUCCAGGCUUUUCGUUGUCAUUAAGCACGACACUGCCUUUGGGAAGUCACCAAUAACGGUCCCCUUGCCCCCACUUAAGACAUUAACUGUUUCUCUCCUGGUUGAUACACGAAGGAGAGAAAAACGUCUUUUUCAUCAAUGUACUGCCGGUAUCAUUUCUGGAGUGGGAUCCCUUCAAAAAGAUGUAUCUUGAUGGCUGGAUCCAUUGGAAAUUUACUUUCCUUAUCAAGGACACAUGAUGAUCCAGCUUGGGAUGCUUAAAAUGACUACCUUCUUCAAAAUUCCAAGCAAGACUUGGUCAUUACAAUUGAAUGGGCUAGGAUGGCAAGAAGCGUGAUGAUAAGGUCAUGAAAAAUCAUUUCAAUGCAACCAGAGUUCAUUUUAAUGCUGAUUCAGAAGUUGUGCGGUAAUUCAGAGAUUGUUUUAAGAGAAAACGUGAGCUUAUUGAUCCAGAUCAUCCUUCUACAUCAAGAAGAGGCCGUUAGUCAAUGUUUAAUAUUUCUGAAUUUUAAUUACCUUCCUUUUAAUGAUUACGACGUUGUAAGA